UUACGGUCAAAUCAUGCUGAAAACACGGUUCUCGUUCGAUCACCGAAGUUAAGCAUCGUGAGAGCCAGGUCAGUACUUAGAUGGGGACCGCUUGGGAACACCUGGUACUGUAAGC
rnacentral:rRNA from 1 species